UUUAAAGAGAGUUUGAUCCUGGCUCAGGACGAACGCUGGCGGCGUGCCUAAUACAUGCAAGUCGAACGAACGGAGGAAGAGCUUGCUCUUCCAAAGUUAGUGGCGGACGGGUGAGUAACACGUGGGCAACCUGCCUGUAAGUUGGGGAUAACUCCGGGAAACCGGGGCUAAUACCGAAUGAUAAAAUGUGGCGCAUGCCACGCUUUUGAAAGAUGGUUUCGGCUAUCGCUUACAGAUGGGCCCGCGGUGCAUUAGCUAGUUGGUAGGGUAAUGGCCUACCAAGGCCACGAUGCAUAGCCGACCUGAGAGGGUGAUCGGCCACACUGGGACUGAGACACGGCCCAGACUCCUACGGGAGGCAGCAGUAGGGAAUCUUCCGCAAUGGACGAAAGUCUGACGGAGCAACGCCGCGUGUAUGAAGAAGGUUUUCGGAUCGUAAAGUACUGUUGUUAGAGAAGAA
rnacentral:rRNA from 1 species